GACGGAGGGGGCUAGCGUUGUUCGGAAUUACUGGGCGUAAAGCGCGCGUAGGCGGCUAUUCAAGUCAGAGGUGAAAGCCCGGAGCUCAACUCCGGAAUUGCCUUUGAAACUAGAUAGCUUGAAUCACGGAGAGGUCAGUGGAAUUCCGAGUGUAGAGGUGAAAUUCGUAGAUAUUCGGAAGAACACCAGUGGCGAAGGCGACUGACUGGACGUGUAUUGACGCUGAGGUGCGAAAGCGUGGGGAGCGAACAGG
rnacentral:rRNA from 1 species